GUUUAAUAUUGCACGAAACCGUGAUAAAUACGAAUAAAAACUGCGCGGAAAAUUCGUACCCGAAAUAAAAGCUCAAUAAUGCAUUCAGACGAACAGUACCUUAAUUUGUUUGCUAAACAUAUUAUUAUAUUUAAGGGAUUUUAUAUAGGCAAUUUUAAAUACUUGUCGGAUAUACCGACAGAUGUUCAAGGCACUCGAAACGUUUCACGAAGAUAUUUGAUAUUGAAUUGACAAGCGGUUUAAAAACAAAAAAAAAAAAAAACCGUAUUUCGGAAUUAUAUAACCACGACCGAUAGAGAAAAUUUAGAAAUGUUACUUUCGGUGUAAUUAAUUCAUUAUGGUUCCACUCGACGAUAAUUUCGACGGUAUUUUGUAGUAACUACAACGUGUAACGUAAUCGCCACAGAUGUCUUAUGAACAUCUGUGCAGUGUACUGUGCGUUAGGUUAGGUUUAGAUAAUUGCCAAAAAGUUUACAAAAAACUAAAAAAAAACAGACCGGAGAAUUUGUUUAAUACUUUUUAGCAUCCAAUAUUAAAUAUUUUGUUUACAGCUUCGUCGUCGUCUCUUUUUCGCGUUUUACCCACGCAACACGGACUAGAGAACAUGUAAUAUAAUUAGUGUGAGUUCUUACGCCGGGUCGCGUGUAACUUUACCCAAUCGAUAACUGGCCAUCGGUUCUGUAAAAUUAAUAAAUGUUAUCAAACACAAAGUUGUUGAAUCGAUAAGUUGU